GCACAGAUACACAGAGGCUUGACUCGUUUUGAGUCGGGUCGCUACACAACAACAACAACAACAACAAAAGCAAAAAAAUAACGACUACGAGGACGACAACGACGAUGACUACGAUGACGAAGACGACAACGAUGCUAACAACGACAAUCACGAGAACAACGACAGCAACCACAACAACAACAACAACGACAACAUCGACAACAACAAAAAACAACAACAAAAAACAACAACAACAACAACAACAAUAACAACAACAUAACAAACACGACAAUGACGACGACAACAACAAUGACGAUAACGACAACAAC
rnacentral:lncRNA from 1 species